AGAGUUUGAUCCUGGCUCAGAACGAACGCUGGCGGCGUGCUUAACACAUGCAAGUCGAACGGAAUUAGGGGCUUGCUCCUAAUUUAGUGGCGCACGGGUGAGUAACGCGUGGAUAACCUACCCUGGUAUCUGGGAUAACAUCUCGAAAGGGGUGCUAAUACCGGAUAAGCCCACGGGAACUUUGGUUCUUGCGGGAAAAGGUGGCCUCUAUUUAUAAGCUACUGUAUCAGGAUGGGUCCGCGUACCAUUAGCUAGUUGGUAGUGUAAUGGACUACCAAGGCUACGAUGGUUAGCUGGUCUGAGAGGAUGAUCAGCCACACUGGAACUGAGACACGGUCCAGACUCCUACGGGAGGCAGCAGUGGGGAAUUUUGCGCAAUGGGGGAAACCCUGACGCAGCAACGCCGCGUGAGUGAUGAAGGCCUUCGGGUCGUAAAGCUCUGUCAGAGGGGAAGAAGUGUAUGGGUGCUAAU
rnacentral:rRNA from 1 species